AAAGAGCAACCCCAGAACCCCAGCGGUCUGGGGGAAGAGGUGCCUGCACCCGACCCUGCAGUAAGGUCUCAGGCCGGUGUUAAAACAGAGCUUCCAGCGCUGCCAGUGGCGCUGACUGGGAAACGGCCAGCUGAAGUGCAAGUUCCAGUGGCAAAAAUGGCUUCUAACAACUGCCCUCAGGUCGAGUUAGGGAAGGGAGACGGGGCCGAUACUGGACACGGGUCCUGUAAGGCUGCCGCAGGGGAGCGAUUGCCCGAGGGCGCUGGAGUUACUGAGCUGCCCGGUGUGUCCUCUGUCAGCGUGGGCCCUGGUGGCCAGACAGCAAGGGAGGGGGAAGAGACCCCCCAAAAAAGAGUGAGUACCUCCACUCCCGAGGCUGCUAGAAACGGAGAUCCUGCCGCUGACCAAGGAGAUCGGUCUCCUCGAGGCCUAGAAAAAGUGCUUUUCCAGGACCCCGAUAGCAAAACGACCGCAACGAGAGCCAAAUCACGCCGUUGCUCUGGACGCCGAAGCUUUGUGGGUGGCCCCCGCAAAAGCCAUAGGGCCUCCUUGGCAGAAAAAUAUUCACUGGCCAGCAAAAGAGAGAGCAUGAUCCGGAGAUCUAUCAGCAGGGCCGUUUCAAAGAAGGCAGCAGCUCGAGAAUCGUCCUCUGCCUCCAGCAGAGUGAGCUGUCAAAGCUCCAUGGAGGUGUUUGUGGAAGACGAUGUGAGCAGCGGCAUGAGGUGAGGUUACCCUGUGAAGCAGGCAGGAAGAAGUCACAGAAAACCCUGCAAGGAAACUAUAUGGGUCACUCCGGUGUUACAGAUCUGGGAUUGGUUUUAUAAUUGACUGUUUGGGGUGAUGGUGUUACUUGAGGUGAUUUCAAAGCCUGUUGUUCAGGCACAGCCCGCCCUUGUUCAGAGUACAGUGAGGUUGGUCGCUGCAGAGUCCGGCCCUGUGCCAGAAGGCCUGGGAGGCUGAUAGAAAUAACUGUGCCUGGUGUUGGCUGGUGUCACGUGAAUUCUGUCACGGGAUACUGGCAGCUACAGGCCUCUGGAUGCCCUGUGGCACUGGUUAGUCAGCCUGUGAUCUGGCUUGGAAGGUGG
rnacentral:lncRNA from 1 species